rnacentral:rRNA from 1 species
UACGUAGGGGGGCAAGCGUUGUCCGGAAUUAUUGGGCGUAAAGAGCUCGUAGGCGGCUUGUCGCGUCGACCGUGAAAACUUGGGGCUCAACCCCAAGCCUGCGGUCGAUACGGGCAGGCUAGAGUUCGGUAGGGGAGACUGGAAUUCCUGGUGUAGCGGUGAAAUGCGCAGAUAUCAGGAGGAACACCGGUGGCGAAGGCGGGGUCUCUGGGGACCGGUAC